rnacentral:lncRNA from 1 species
AUCUGGCCAAAGCAGGCUUAGAACGCCAUGCUGUGCUCCUGCGUGCCUGAGCUCAAUGCCUUGGAAGAUCAUGGAGAGAUUUCUACAGGUCCUACCUUCUAGUUUUGCCUGGAAGAUAGAGUGGCUGCAACAGAGGCCACCAGGGUUUCUGAACAUUCACUCCUGUGAGCCAUGUGGGGUGUGGUGGAGUGGAGGCCCACGGAAAUAAGAAGGGGAGAAGAAGCGGUAAGAAUGGGGUUUCCCGGGCUGGGGUUGUGGCUCAGUGGUAGAGGGCUUGCCUAGCAUGUGUGAGGCCCUGGGUUGGAUUCUCAGCACUGCAUAUAAAUAAAUGAAUAAAAUAAAGGUCCAUCAACAUCUUAAAAAUUAAACCAAAAAGAAUGGGGUUUCUUACUGGAGCGGGCUGCCCUGGUGGGGAGAGUGAGGGGCCACCAUGGUCUCACCUUGGCUGAAUUUUGGAAUCCUUGGGGAAGCUUUAAUGUAUACCAACGUAGUGCCUGCACUCUACACCACAAAUGUUGGUUUGUGUGCAUCUUGUGCACAAAGAUCAAAAACUCCAGGUGAUGAGGGUUCGUGGCCAGAUUCAGAACACUGGGGCAUAGGGUCUCUGUAUGGUGGACCUUGAACAGAGAAGGUGGAGCAUCAGGGUGAGGGCAUGGUCCCACCACCAACCCAGCUCCUCUCCACUGGGCAGCAGACCCUGUGAGCUUAGAGACUGGCACUGGCAGAGGGGGCUGUAGGAUGGGCUUCCGGGAGCUCAUGCUUUUGCUUUGGAACUGACAGGUCCCAGCAUAUCAGUAUCUUCAGCUCACUCCCUACUCUGCACACAAUACAGGGUGCAGGGGGUUCCCUGGGACGGGGCAUAUACAUCCAACAGGCCUUAGUGAGGUGCUGUCUGUGCUUCGUGGAUUACCUUUGGCCUUGCCUAGGGUUAGCGGUUACUCUGGGUGUCUGGUUUUGCUAGGCUCCCCAGGUACCUCUUGGUGAGGAGGAUUAGAUCGCAGGGAGCAGGCAGGGACCCCGUGAUUGUGUCUGCUGGGAUGAAUGGCGAGCUGAUGAACCUGCUGUGGGUGUCCCGUGCAACUUAGUUUAGUGGUCAACUUCAGCACCUGUUGAGAGGACGAGCACAGGGAACCUAAGGCAGCUUGAAGUAAGUAAAGGGUUGGGCAAUUUUUCACCCUAUUUUAGUAUUUUCUGGUAAGUCCCCCUCUCCUUCCCUUCUUUAGCCUGCUUGUUUUCUUCCUGUAAGAGAGGAAGAUGUUUUUUAAUGUGCUGUGGAGUCCAUUUGAAUGUGAGCUGUUGAUGGAGGGGUUUGUCUUCAGUGUGUAUUUGUUGGGGGGGAUGAGUAAACAGUGGUGUGUAGCCGUGGGUUGUGGGGGCCACAGGGGAAAGAGAAUCAUUUAAGAUUUAUUCUGUGAUGGGUCCUAGGAGGAACUGCAGGCCUUACUGGGGUCAGGGAAUGCAGAGGGCUCCGGCUUGUGUUUGGUUUUCCUCCCCCAUUGGAGCAGGUGUCUUCUUUCACAAUUAGAAUGCUUUUCUUUUUUCUUUUUUUUUUGCCCUACCUUGUCAUGGGAGAUGACACUUCUGCAGACUUUAGUCUUUUAUGUGUUCUAAACCGAGCCCUUUCCCCUGCUGUGGCUUCAAUAAUGCAUCAUUUCAUAAGUUCAUGGAAUUUAAUGUGCCUCUGCUCAGCCUCCAGUCUCGGCUAGGUAGUUAAAUGAAAAUUAACCACUGUAGGUUGGGCUCAAAGUCACCUCUUCGCCUUCUCCUUUUGGAUCCCCUCCCCUCUCUGCUGCCCCGUGUGUGCAAAACAACGUCCCUUUUUCUUUCCUUGGUGUGGCGUGUGCAGGACGCUCCCCUGGGUGAGUGGGAAUAUUGAUUUAUUUCAUAAUCCGAGAUCCAUGAAAAAAAUAACAGUGUGAACGUACAAGUUUUUGAACUGCCGCCUCUCCAGCUGAAGUACAGUGGAGUCUAGGGACCUGUAGCAAACUAAUAUUUAACGAGAGUGCUACUGUUGUGCCGCAUUUUGGAUUCGCGGUGGCUGCCGGUGAAAUUGGCAUGUGUCCUGACAGGGCUCUGAAGUGGGCUCCAUCUUCAUUCCCUUCAUUCACUUGUUCACUUAUUCAGUGCCUAAUGAUCAUUUUAUAUGUAUGAGGCACCCGGGUGGUGGAUGUGAUAGGCUAUUUGCAUUAAUGGCUUCCAUUCUUCACAGUUUUCUGAACUCCUGCCCGCUCUCCUUGACUUGGCUUUGGACUCGACCACGUGACUUGCUUUGACCUGUAGGAUGAAGUGGAGGUGAUGGGGUGGGAGUUUGGAGCCUGUACCAGACAAGAUCUGAAGCAUUUCUGGUUUUUUUUUUUUUUUUUUUAUGUAUCUUUGCAUUUGCCACAAAAAGAAAGCAUGCCCUGGAUGCUUGGAAAACAGCCUCCAGUCAACCUGAGAGCCUUCAGUGAGAAACCAAGCCUCCUGGAGAUCCCCCGAGUCCCAGCCAACUUGCAGAUGCUGAGCAGAAAGAAAUGAUUGUUGCCUUAAGACUCUGGUUCCUCAGGCAGCAUUGUUAUGCAACCGAUGACGGACACAAUGGAUAUUGAUAGGAUUCCGUCAUGGGUCCCCUUGGAGAGAAGUCUUAGAGUUGGGUGAUGUUGGUUGGCGGGUCAGGACGAGAUCAUGAAGGGCCAAACAAGAUACAGUUCCAAGUGGCCUGUGAGAGGACUCAGUCAAGAGAGUCUGCAGGAAGAUUGAUCCGAGACCUCAUGGGGGGGUGGCCUUUGAGACGGUGUUAUUGAAGUCCUGAAUAGGGGAAUGUUG